UGCUCGCGUAGAUUAACAGUGCGUUCCCAGUGAAUGGUCAGUGCAACACAGAGGUCGUGGUAUACGAAACAGAGGUAGUAUUGUCCAACAACAACAUCAGAGGAACACAUACAAAAAUAUGAUGGGGCAACGGAUGGUCUCUUUAAGACCAGGUUAAAUAAUUACAGAUCCUCUUUUAGAAUCUAAAUGAAGCGCAACUAUGUUUGGCGAUUAAAAGAGGAAGAAAUGCCGUACAAAAUCAUUUGGAAACAGCCGGAACAGCACUGGUCUAUGUCUGAA